rnacentral:rRNA from 1 species
AUGGCGUCCUCCUCCUCCGCGACGUCCGGCGACGACCGGCCGCCGGCCGCCGGGGGCGGGACCCCCGCGCAGGCGCACGCGGAGUGGGCCGCCUCGAUGCACGCCUACUACGCGGCCGCCGCCUCCGCCGCCGGACACCCCUACGCCGCGUGGCCGCUGCCGCCGCAGGCCCAGCAGCACGGCCUGGUGGCGGCCGGGCCGGGGGCGGCGUACGGCGCGCCGGUGCCGUUCCCCAUGUACCACCACCCCGCGGCGGCGUACUACGCGCACGCGCACGCCUCCAUGGCCGCGGGGGUGCCUUACAUGGCCGGCGAGUCUGCGUCGGCGGCGGGGAAAGGGAAGAGGGUGGGGAAGACACAGCGUGUCCCUUCCGGCGAGAUCAAUUCCAGCUCCGGGAGUGGCGAUGCCGGGAGCCAGGGGUCAUCGGAGAAGGGAGACGCCGGCGCCAAUCAGAAGGGCUCAUCAUCAUCCGCCAAGAGGAGAAAGUCCGGCGCUGCGAAAACAGAAGGUGAACCAUCUCAGGCUGCCACAGUGCAGAAUGCUGUAACCGAGCCGCCAUUGGAAGACAAGGAGAGGUCUGCAUCCAAACUGUUGGUUUUGGCGCCUGGGAGGGCGGCACUCACCAGUGCUGCACCAAACUUGAAUAUUGGGAUGGAUCCCUUGAGCGCUUCUCCAUCCUCCUUGGUGCAGGGGGAGGUGAACGCCGCAGCUUCUUCCCAGAGUAACGCUUCGCUGUCUCAGAUGGAUGAACGGGAACUGAAGAGGGAGAGAAGGAAACAAUCCAACAGAGAGUCUGCAAGGAGAUCAAGAUUACGCAAACAGCAAGAAUGCGAAGAGUUAGCCCAGAAGGUAAGUGAGCUGACCGCAGCGAAUGGCACGCUCAGAUCAGAACUCGACCAGCUUAAGAAGGACUGCAAAACCAUGGAAACAGAAAAUAAAAAGCUGAUGGGUAAAAUACUAAGUCAUGAUGAUAAAAUGCAGCAGUCAGAGGGCCCUAGCGUUGUGACUACCCUGAGCAUCCAGGUCGAAGCGCCCGAGCCGCAUCAGGGAGGACACGGCAAAGCUUCAUAA